UAGGGAAUAUUGGUAAUCUGGGAAACCGGGAACCAGCAACGCCGCGUGUGCGAUGAAGGCCUUCGGGUUGUAAAGCACUUUUUGAGGGGAUGAGGAAGGACAGUACCCUCAGAAUAAGCCUCGGCUAACUACGUGCCAGCAGCCGCGGUAACACGUAGGAGGCGAGCGUUAUUCGGAUUUACUGGGCGUAAAGCGCGUGCAGGCGGCUCGAUAAGUUGGAUGUGAAAGCUCCCGGCUUAACUGGGAGAGGGCGGUCAAAACUGUCGGGCUAGAGGAUGAGAGAGGGAGGUGGAAUUCCGAGUGUAGUGGUGAAAUGCGUAGAUAUUCGGAGGAACACCAGUGGCGAAAGCGGCCUCCUGGCUCAUAUCUGACGCUCAGACGCGAAAGCUAGGGUAGCAAACG
rnacentral:rRNA from 1 species